rnacentral:rRNA from 1 species
CUUGGGUCAUUUAGAGGAAGUAAAAGUCGUAACAAGGUUUCCCGUAGGUGAACCUGCGGAAGGAUCAUUACCGAGUGAGGGCCCUCUGGGUCCAACCUCCCACCCGUGUUUAUUUUACCUUGUUGCUUCGGCGGGCCCGCCUUAACUGGCCGCCGGGGGGCUUACGCCCCCGGGCCCGCGCCCGCCGAAGACACCCUCGAACUCUGUCUGAAGAUUGUAGUCUGAGUGAAAAUAUAAAUUAUUUAAAACUUUCAACAACGGAUCUCUUGGUUCCGGCAUCGAUGAAGAACGCAGCGAAAUGCGAUACGUAAUGUGAAUUGCAAAUUCAGUGAAUCAUCGAGUCUUUGAACGCACAUUGCGCCCCCUGGUAUUCCGGGGUGGUCCUUCCGAGCGUCAUUGCUGCCCUCAAGCACGGCUUGUGUGUUGGGCCCCGUCCUCCGAUCCCGGGGGACGGGCCCGAAAGGCAGCGGCGGCACCGCGUCCGGUCCUCGAGCGUAUGGGGCUUUGUCACCCGCUCUGUAGGCCCGGCCGGCGCUUGCCGAUCAACCCAAAUUUUUAUCCAGGUUGACCUCGGAUCAGGUAGGGAUACCCGCUGAACUUAAGCAUAUCAAUAAGCGGGAGGA